AGAUUGAACGCUGGCGGCAGGCCUAACACAUGCAAGUCGAGCGGUAGAGAGGUGCUUGCAUCUCUUGAGAGCGGCGGACGGGUGAGUAAUGCCUAGGAAUCUGCCUAGUGGUGGGGGAUAACGUUCGGAAACGGACGCUAAUACCGCGUACGUCCUACGGGAGAAAGCGGGGGACCUUCGGGCCUCGCGCCAUUAGAUGAGCCUAGGUCGGAUUAGCUAGUUGGUGAGGUAAUGGCUCACCAAGGCGACGAUCCGUAACUGGUCUGAGAGGAUGAUCAGUCACACUGGAACUGAGACACGGUCCAGACUCCUACGGGAGGCAGCAGUGGGAAUAUUGGACAAUGGGCGAAAGCCUGAUCCAGCCAUGCCGCGUGUGUGAAGAAGGUCUUCGGAUUGUAAAGCACUUUAAGUGGAGAAGGUUGUAACUUAAUACGUUGCAACUUUGACGUUACCGACAGAAUAAGCACCGGCUAACUUCGUGCCAGCAGCCGUA
rnacentral:rRNA from 1 species